rnacentral:rRNA from 1 species
AUUGAACGCUGGCGGCAGGCCUAACACAUGCAAGUCGAACGGUAGCACAGAGAGCUUGCUCUCGGGUGACGAGUGGCGGACGGGUGAGUAAUGUCUGGGAAACUGCCUGAUGGAGGGGGAUAACUACUGGAAACGGUAGCUAAUGCCGCAUAACGUCGCAAGACCAAAGAGGGGGACCUUCGGGCCUCUUGCCAUCGGAUGUGCCCAGAUGGGAUUAGCCAGUAGGUGGGGUAAUGGCUCACCUAGGCGACGAUCCCUAGCUGGUCUGAGAGGAUGACCGGCCAAACUGGAACUGAGACAGGGUCCAGACCCCUACGGGGGGCAGCAGUGGGGAAUAUUGCACAAGGGGCGCAAGGCUGAUGCAGCCAUGCCGCGUGUAUGAAGAAGGCCUUCGGGUUGUAAAGUACUGUCAGCGAGGAGGAAGGCAUUAAGGUUAAUAACCUUAGUGAUUGACGUUACUCGCAGAAGAAGCACCGGCUAACUCCGUGCCAGCCGCCGCCGUAACAC